GCCGGCGGGCACAGCCAUGGCGGCGGCGGCCGAGCGGGGCCGCCUCAGCUUCCCCGGCGGCGCCGGGGCCCUGGGGCGGCCCGUGCCUAUGAACCUCUUCGCCACGUGGGAGAUCGACGGUUCCAGCCCGAGCUGCGUCCCCAGGUUGUGCAGCUUGACAUUAAAGAAACUGGUAGUCUUAAAGGAAUUGGAUAAGGAGCUUAUUUCUGGGGUCAUUGCUGUCAAAAUGCAGGGCUCCAAGCGCAUCCUGCGGUCUCACGAGAUUGUAUUGCCCCCGAGUGGACAUGUGGAGACAGAGCUUGCACUGACCUUCUCGCUGCAGUACCCUCACUUCUUGAAGAGAGAAGGCAACAAGCUUCAGAUCAUGCUGCAGCGGCGGAAGCGGUACAAGAACCGAACCAUUUUAGGCUACAAGACUCUGGCUGUGGGGUCUAUCAACAUGGCUGAGGUCAUGCAGCACCCAACAGAAGGUGGCCAGGUUCUGAGCCUUUUCAGCAACAUCAAAGAGGCUGCAGUGAAGGUAGCAGAAAUUUGGAUCUUCUCCUUGUCCAGUCAGCCAAUCGACCAUGAAGACAGCACCAUGCAGGCCAGCCAGAAAAUCAAGUCUACAGACAACUAUUCUGAGGAAGAGUACGAGAGCUUCUCUUCUGAGCAGGAGGCCAGUGAUGAUGCCGUACAGGGCCAGGAUUUGGAUGAUGAUGAGUACGAGCUGGGGAAGCCCAAGAAGCAGCGGAGAUCGAUAGUAAGAACGACGUCCAUAACCAGGCAACAAAACUUCAAACAGAAGGUUGUGGCAUUGCUGAAGAGGUUUAAAGUGUCUGAUGAGGUUCUGGAUUCAGAGCAGGACCCAGCAGAGCACGUUCCAGAGGUGGAGGAGGAUUUGGACCUUUUGUAUGACACACUGGAUAUAGAGAACCCCAGUGACAGCGGGCCAGAAAUGGAGGAUGAUGACAGUGUCUUGAGCACUCCAAAGCCAAAGUUAAAACCUUAUUUUGAAGGACUGUCACACUCCAGCUCUCAGACAGAAAUUGGUAGCAUCCAUAGCAUCAGGAGCCAGAGAGAGCCAUCAAGUCCUCAGGUAGAAGUGCCUGAAAAGACAAAGAGUCUUGGAACCAAACAUACAGGAGACAGUAUUUCUGACACUGUCCCUUAUGAGUCUAACCAGCAAGCUGAGGUCCAGGAGGCUGAACUCCCCACACCAGAUGUGUUUGUUGAGAAGCUCCCACCGAGCGGGAAGAUCACUAAGACAGAGUCCCUCAUCAUCCCAUCCACCAGCAGGUCUGAAGGGAAGCAGACGGGACGUCGGGGAAGAAGCACAUCUCUGAAGGAGAGGCAGCCAGUGAGGCCACAGAACGAGAGAGCCAACAGCCUGGACAAUGAGCGCUCUCCAGACACCCGGCACCACUUACAGAUCCCCAGGAAAACAGUGUAUGACCAACUAAAUCACAUCCUGGUUUCCGACGACCAGCUGCCAGAAAACAUUAUUCUUGUCAAUACAUCUGACUGGCAAGGCCAGUACCUGUCAGAUGUCUUGCAAAAGCAUACAUUGCCAGUGGUCUGUACAUGCUCCUCUGCUGAUAUUCAGGCAGCUUUCAGCACUAUUGUCUCCAGGAUACAGAGAUACUGUAACUGCAAUUCACAGCCUCCAAACCCAAUUAAAAUUGCAGUGGCAGGAGCCCAGAAUUACCUCAGUGCUGUAUUGAGGCUCUUUGUAGAGCAGCUGUCUCACAAAACUCCCGACUGGCUCGGCUACAUGAGAUUUUUGAUCAUCCCUCUAGGCUCUCAUCCAGUGGCCAAGUAUCUGGGGUCUGUAGAUUAUAGAUACAACAACUUCUUCCAAGAUCUAGCCUGGAGAGAUCUAUUCAACAAACUUGAAGCACAGACCACUGUUCCAGAGGCACCCGAUGUCGUCUCCCGGAUAACCCAGUACAUAGCAGGGGCAAACUGUGCACACCAGUUGCCCAUUGCUGAAGCCAUGCUGACAUACAAACAGAAAAGGAAAAAGAGCUUUCAUUUUGAUUUUACCUUAAGGCUAACUGCUUUAGCGGUGCCGGGAUGUGCAAGGUAUGGCACAUGGCUCCAAAGGUGGGACGCGGGAAGGCCGUGCGUGCAGAGCGCUUCAGGGACUACCCUGACGAAGAAUCUUCGCAGAAGUUCAUUCCCUUUGUCGGGGUGGUGAAGGUUGGAAUAGUGGAACAAUCUUCUGCAACAUCAGGUGACUCUGAUGAUGCAGCUCCCUCAAGCUCCAGUGUCCUUUCUUCUACCCCACCUUCUGUAUCUCCUGCUGUGAAAGAAGCCUCCCCCACACCUCCUUCCUCACCAUCUGUUACAGGCAGCUUCUCGUCCUCAAGCCAGGGCCUCGGUGCUGAGUUGAUGGGCCUGCAGGUGGAUUACUGGAUUGCAGCUCCACCCGUGGAUAGAAAGAGAGACCCGGAGAAGAAGGACCCCUCCACUACCAAAAACACACUGAAAUGCACUUUCCGGUCCCUCCAGGUCAGCAGGUUACCUGCCAGCGGGGAGAUUGCCACCACUCCAACUAUGUCCAUGACUGUUGUGACAAAAGAAAAGAACAAAAAAGUGAUGUUUUUGCCCAAGAAAACAAAAGACAAGGAGGUUGAGUCAAAGAGCCAGUGUAUUGAAGGAAUCAGCAGGUUGAUUUGCACAGCAAAACAUCAGCAGAACAUGCUGCGUGUCCUGAUUGAUGGGGUGGAGUGGAACGAUGUCAAGUUCUUUCAGCUGGCAGCACAGUGGUCCUCCCAUGUCAAGCACUUUCCCAUCUGCAUAUUUGGACACUCCAAAUCUAACUUCUAGCUGUGCUCGGCGGAGGGACCUUCUGCCUGUCCCAGGGACUGCACACCAGGAGCCAGGAACUGCGUGCCAACUCUGACUCGCGUCGCUCUGCCCUCUCCUGCAGAAUUAAUUACAGAUGUGCUUGGAUUACUUUUGAAUUACUUUUUUCUAUUAACUCUUAAGUUUACUACAAGGGAAGGAAACCCCUUUAAACAAAGGCAAAAAAACCCAGUCUUAAAUAUAGAUGUGCUGACAACGUGAAGUCGUGGGGGAGUUGGCAGGAGCAGGCAACCUGCCCAAGAACACCUACCACUUACAAGCAGAUAGCUGAAUAACUGCACUGCUUAUUAACCUGAGACCUCAUUGGUGUGAGUGGGCUGGGGGAGCCGUGGAUCAGCUCAAACGGAUUUUGCAGAAGAUCAUGUGUGUUACUGUACAUUUGGCCCCCUCCCUCUAUAUUUCUAGGAGAAAAGGGUGGCCAGUCUGUCUUCCUGCUGCCAAAGGACGGGAGAUCAGCGAGUCUGGAGGGAGUUCAACGGUCCAGUUUGGAAAACAAACCACUUUUACAUAGCUAGAGAGGUCUGGAGAGGGGAUCCCCUUUGGAGCAUGGAGCCUGCCAUGGGGACAGGCAGGUGUUUGUGCUGAUGUGAUGCCUGAGGAGGGUUAGGCAGGAAGAGUAAUUAGGGAAACACUAAGAGGAAGGAAACUCCCGUGUCCCAGGUCUGUGACAAUGACCAAACCAAACCAGUCACCAUGUCCCCACAGCUGGCUGUGCUGCAGAGGGACACCAUGUCAGUGGGGUCGCUGCUAUUUACACACUCACACCAAUUAUUUACCUGUCAAUAAAACCUCGUCCAGCCUCUAAAGGGAAAGGAUUUUUUUUAACAGCUGCAGAUUUUUUUUAAUGCUUUCUAAAAAAAAUAAAAUAAAAUAAAAAAUAACAGGAAAAAAUUAAUUUGCCAAAAACAAAAAACCAACAAACCCAGGAAGAUGAGCCGUUGUCUGUGGAGUGAUAUAUCACUGGAGUGGCUGGACUGGGAGCCAGCCAGGCGCUCUGCGUGUCCAGCUGCCUUCCUGUCCAUCUGUCAAACUGCACACAUGAGGUAGCGUGGGAUGCUCUGUCUGCUGCCUGCAUCCUGCCCUGACCACACUGCUCCCUGGAGCCUGCCUGGCUUCAGGGCCCUUGUCCUCGAACCACUCAGGAUCUCUCCUCAUGGGAACUGAAGGAACGUAACAGAAAUGAAGGGUGCUCAGGGCAGGCAGCCUCCUGUGGGCUGCUCUGGAGAUGGACAUUGUCCUUAACUUCUGCUUCCUGAGUAUUCCUCCCCACAAGUGUUUCUCUCUAGAUCACAUCCUUUCCCCAGCAGAAUAUGCUUUUCCUCUGGCAGGGCGUUGCCUGUGGGUUGAGGCUUUGUGAGAGGUUUCAGCUCCAGGGUGCAGAAUGGAAGCUGUCAUUGGAAUGUGAGUGAGAAUGAAGCCAGACAGGUUUUCUGUCCACUUUGGUCAGCAAGAUGUCCUGUGAGAUGGAGGACUGAAAUUUUAGGGUAUCUCUGUUGGCUUGGCUCUGGCUGCACUUGUGUUCAGUUUGUAUGCCUUGUUGCUGCCAGGGAUGCAGCAACAAGGAGACAGCGGGACAAAGGUGCUGCAGAUUGGGCCUUUUGCACUCCAGGCUUCCCAAAGCUUGCCUGGGAGCAGGUGGCAGCUGGGAUUUGGAGAGGAGAGUGUCCUUGCUAUGGGGAAGAACAGACAUCUCUGGCAUUUCAGGGUAAGAGACUAAAAUUUCUGAUGGGUGCUUUUAGGUCCCACCCCUGCGGACAAGCCAGGCACUGGGAACAUUUCCAGAAGGCACUUUCUGAGGGCAGUGAUGCUUUUGAACCUUUUUUUUUUUUUUCAAUCUGAUUCCUUACCUUUGGGUUUUUAAAGGCUUGGGGCACCCGCUUUUGUGCUGCGUAGCUCUGCACAGGGCCCACACAGGUUCUUUUGGGCAGGGCAGUGGUGGUGUGCUCUGCUGGGCCUUCUGCUGACAGGGAGUGAGGAGUUAAGAAGUGAGAGCUGGAUCUAGUGCCUGGCAGAGCUCACAAAACCCUUUCCCAGCACAAGUGCAACCUACUUGGCCAGGGGCUGGGUAUUCCCUUCAAACCAUGCAGGGGAGGAGGAUACGGUCCCCUGCCCAGUGACAGGCUGCUGGGUAGGACAGAUUGUCUAGCUGCAAUACUCUGUGCUGCAGGCAGGUCUGCCUGCUGGCUCUUGGCUGUGGCAGAAGUUUGGCUGUAGUUGGGCUGCUGUCAGGUCCCUCAGUUCACGUGUUUUUGGUUGACCUGAGCUGGUGCUCUGGGACUGUAUAGCAUUGCCUAGCAGUGGCAGCGUGGAAGAUGGCAUAUAAGCACAUCACUUCUUUAUCUUUAUUGAGGCUGCUGCAUCAGAAAAAGCUCUGUAAAGGAAAUUAGUCAGUUUGUGAUUUCUUCCUCGAGUCUCAUGCUGGUGUGACAAGAGCAGUCGGGCUGGGUUCCAGCGUCAGGAGCCGCACGCAGCCUGGGCAGCUCUCAGUGCUGGAGUGUGUUACUGCUGCAGAGCUGGGGUGGACUGACUGCAAUAACUUUGUUUACUGGGGGGUGAGGGGAGAACCAUCACUGUGCUCCUCUUUGUAUUUCAAUCUACUGUAAAGAAAAAAACUGGUAGCUAGGACAGGAUUUCCAGGGUCCUGCCUAUCAAAUGUGUGUUGCCCUGCUGUACUCUGUGUGUGUGUGUAUGUGUGAGAGAAACACUUCUGCUCGUUGGAUUUCAUGUUGGUUUGUGUUUUGUUCUAACUAUAUACAAGCAAAUUCAGUGGGAAACUUUCCGUACACCUGAGGGCUUGUGUCUCUGCAGGGUUUCUCCCCUGUGGAAUGCUGUUGUUGCUCUGAAGUGCUCUUCCAUGCAAGAAAACAUCCUGAAGUCUCAACCUUGUCAUCCUGGAGGGAGUCCAGCAGUAGCAGGCUGGGCUUGCCCAAGGGCAGCUGUGUGCCCAGGGUGUGAAUGUGGUGUUUCCUGGCCCUGGAGGGCAAGGGCUGGCCGUGCAGAUUUGGUGGCGCAGCUCAGAUCAGGCUGUUGUGCCUCUCUUGUUUCUCUUGUAUCACGUGGAGCCACUUUGUGUGGCUGUUUCUGUCCCUGACUGGAAGAGAAACAGAUUUCUAUCUCUAAGGAAAAUGAGUGUCACAGCAUGUAUGUGGCUCAGACCUUUUUGGAAAGGGGCUUUGCACCUGGUGAAUAAGAGGUGAAUGAGUGACUGACCUCAGGUCUCCCACCCUCCCACCUUCCCCCACAUUUUCUGGGGGGACCCUGCCAGGAACAAGCCCCACUAGCCAGAGGGAUCCCUGCUGCAGGACCAGGGAAAGCUGCUGGGGCAGCAGUGGGCCUGUGCCUGUAGAGCUGUACCAGCCUGUGGGGUUGGGUGAUUGCAAAUCGGUGAGUGCAGAAGGAUGGCUCAGAGCCCAGACAGCACCACUCUGCCUUCGGCUCUCUAGAGUUUGGGCGGGGAAGGUACAUCUCAAAUGAAGAAAGGCAGUGGGGUUGUCUCCCAGGUCAGGCUUGCUUUUUAGCUGUGCAGUCUGACAGUGAAGGCAGGGGCUGGGGUGGGCAGCAUCUGAGCAGAUCUCCAGAAGGGAGGUGCUCUUGAAGGCAAUGUCUGUCCCCUGGUGUCCCUGUUCCUUUAUGUCCCAGAGCUUGCCCCUGCUCCCUGUGGAGCCUGUCUCUCCAGCUCCUCUGGCUGUGACUUCUCAAAGCAGCCGGUUUCUUUUCCAGCUGCAGUUGGAGAAGGCCCCCGCCUCGCUCGGAGGUGAGCUCUCGGGAGCGGGCUCGCUGCCGCGCUGAGCUGCGUGACGCUGACCUACUUUAACAGCACUGGCAAGGAGAUGAAAGAUGGAAGGGUUUUGUGGCAUUGUGUUGCACCUUGAGUGCUUCCUGGUUUUCUGGCUUAAGUUUCCUGGAGACAAAGGCUGGGCUUCAGCCCUGCCAGCGAUCAAGCAGGGCUGGCUCUCCUGCGGUGCUGGCGAUGUCAUGGACAUCUUGGGCGGCUGUUUUAGCUCAGUGCUGCAGUUCCCGUCCAGUUCAAUUGUUACCAUUUACAUUGCAGUGGUAACUGCAGAGUCCUCCUUAAUUACACAUGAGUUUGGGGAGAGCCAUGGUCUCUUUGGCUGUGUUUUGCUGCUUUAAUUAGAACAGAAGAUAAAGCUUGUGGCUUUAUCCUGCAGAGAGGGCAUGGGUAGGUGGCUGGGAGGUUUCUGGGGCUGAGGAGAUGUGCCUGUUUGCUUUCCAUCAUCGAACUCAGCCAAGAACUACAAUGCCCUGUGCUUAACCUGCGAUUGCAGCACAGGCCCUGUUGUGUUUCUCACCAGCAGCGUGUGCUGGAGACAGCACAGGAGAGCCAGGGCAGAGGGCAUUGCACCUGGCAUUUCCAAGUUUAAGAAGAAAAUCCUGUCAAAAGGCAGCAGAGGCAAUGGCCUUCUCCUGCUUCUUGGUGUGCUGAGGGAUCGGAAAGGCUGGGGUUAGGACAGUCCUGCUAUGCGGUAGUAGUGGACUGGGGGUCCUGGAGCUUUCCUGAAGCAAGGUAGGAUGCAAUGCCUCUGUCCCCUUCGGGGGGGGGCUCGAUCUCAGUGGAUGGCUGCGUGGUAGUGUUUAGUGUGGCACUUCCUGUGGGCUUACCUGGCAGGAGAAGGCCAGAAAUGAGCAGCAGCAUCACCUGGAGCCUCUUCAGCAGUGUUGUCAUGGGAGAUGUUCCUGGCAGGGCCGGCUCCUGCAGGAUCACUUGGGUGCUUUGGUACAGCCUGGGGUAAAAGGGGAUGUGCCACUUGCAAAGCAGCAGGUCACUGGCUUCCUUAAGGAAGAGCACCAGUUUGGGGCCACAUCCAGGAAACUGCUGCUUUGCUCCUUGGCCAGAGAGCUUCCAGGGCGUGUUGCCUGCCUGGUUGCAUAUAUGUGGUGGCUGUGGGGAAGCGCCCUGUGAGCACAGUUCCUGGGCUGCGUGCCGCCAGGCUUGUCCAGACCAGGACAUCAUCACUUUGUAGAUUCUCGAGUUGUCCAUCUGUUUCAUUGUUGUAUUGUUUGGGUUCUAGGGUUGUUUUUUAUGAAGACAGAUAAAAUGUAAAUAGCCUUUUUUGGAACAAACUGCAAUGUGCUCGACCUCGUCAACUAUUUUAUGGUACUAAUGCAACACUAAUAAAACUGGACAUGAAAGCACA